AUACGAAGGUGGCAAGCGUUGUUCGGCUUCACUGGGCAUAAAGGGCGUGUAGGCGGUCCAGAAAGCGGCUUGUGAAAUCCCGGAGCUCAACUCCGGAACUGCUGGCUGAACUACUGGGCUCGAGGGCAGGAGGGGGGUGUGGAACUCUAGGUGUAGCGGUGAAAUGCGUAGAUAUCUAGAGGAACGCCGGUGGCGAAAGCGACACCCUGGCCUGUUUCUGACGCUGAGGCGCGAAAGCGUGGGUAGCAAACAGGAUUAGAGACCCUAGUAGUCC
rnacentral:rRNA from 1 species